rnacentral:rRNA from 1 species
AAUGACUCUCGGCAACGGAUAUCUCRGCUCUCGCAUCGAUGAAGAACGUAGCAAAAUGCGAUACGUGGUGUGAAUUGCAGAAUUCCGUGAACCAUCGAGUAUUUGAACGCAAGUUGCGCCCGAUGUCUUUCGACUGAGGGCACGUCUGCCUGGGCGUCACGC